ensembl:lncRNA
AUUCCAACAUGGAUCAUCCAAGAACACAGUCCUCAGUUAAGCUCACGGAUCUGGGUAUAACCCAACCGCAUUCUGAAGGUGAGCUGUCUGACAUACUUGAUAGUUUUCUGAGAACGUUUGAGCAACACGUUAGUGUAUGCGAGUCAGACGUUCAAGAUGGGAUGGUGCCCAACAUAACAGAUGGAACCCAGACCUGUGGACAAUCCUCACAGAAUUACACAGUCCACACACACACAUCAAAUGCACAUGCCACUUCUAUGAACACAACAACACAGGGAUCAAAAGCCUCAUUAUCCAAGAACAGACCACGAGUAUCAUCUGCUCGUAGACCACAGAAGCCAUCAGGUUUUUGGCAGGUGUCAGGUGUGAAAAUGGAUAAAUCAACCGGACAGCAAAGUGAACAGAAGCCUAAAUCUGGCAGGAUGACCAGAAGCCAGAGUAGGAAGAGGAAGCUGGAUGUUAUUGAAGAACUGCCUGGGAGAGACGAGCUUCCAGCCAAACGGAAGAAAAAACGAAAAAAAGAACAAUUAGAGAAGAUGAAGGUAGAGGCUUUGCUACCAAAGGAGAAAAAGAGAAAGAAUAAAACUAGCAGGCUGCAUAGUGAGGAAAAGUGCACCAGCAGCACAGCUGACUCAAGCUGCGGUGUUACGAGUUCAUUAAGGAAAGUCAUAAACACAACUAGUGGCCACAACGUGAAGUGUGCCACACAAACAACAAAGACAUUACAGAAGACUUUGGUUCGGUCAAAAUCUUCAGAGUUGCAUGCUAACAAACAGUCCAGUCUUGUAAAAAAUAAACAAGUGGGACAUGCUAAAAGAGACACAACUAAAUCUCUUCUAGAAGGAAGUACGUUAAAGGUGCAGUGCAUUACAGGGUGUUCACGACCCAAGCAAUCAGCCACAAAGAAUAAAUCCACUGGGUCCCGUCCAGCUCUUUCUGCUUUUGAGUUAAUGAAAAAGAUCUUGGAAAAUCUGCAGAAAAGAGAGGAAGAGCAAAAAGGAGAAGAUAACAGAAUGUGGACUGUGAAAAAACUGAAAGUAAAGAAGAGGUUGAUAAAUGCACAUGUACGUGGAGCUGAGGAGAAAAUGACUGAGAAUAAAGAGAAGAAUGCUAGAAUCAGGGUUGAAGGGCACAAUAAUAGCAGAAUAAACCAAAAAGAUGAGGAAACAAGUGGGAGAAUGAAGGAGGUUGGCAAUCAGAAGAACAUUCUUCUUCAGCAGAAUCUGCCAUCAGCUAAUGGUUGCACCAUGUCAAACGGAGAGAGACUGAUGGAGGACAGCUACAGCAAAGCAAGAUCUAAGACUGCUGACUCUCUCAAUGAUUCUCCUUUGCAAAGAUGCAGCACAGAAGGCCUCAUGCUUAAAAACACGACAGACAUGCCUUUUGUCUCACAUGCACUGGACCCCACCACACCUCUUGAGAAACUCGGAAACACACAAGGAUCAAUAGCCAGUUCAGAAGAGGAUGAGGAUGUUGAUGUUGUGGAGGUCUCUAGUUCUUUGUCUGAGUCCUUCCCUGUGCUGCCAAUCACUGCCGAUAUUGUGCUCAGCACAGAGGAGGGGGACAGUGAUGAAGACGACGAGAUUGAUGUGAUAAGUUUAGGAUCUAAUUAAGCAUGUAGUAAUUUCUGUUACUGUUUAUUACUGUUUAGCUUCAGCGUUCUGAAUGUGUGUUGGUGCAUAUUUGAAAUACUUUCUCAAAUUAUCAAAGACUUAGAACAUGGUACCUUUUACCUGUGUAUAAUUCAACACAGAGUUCACACGUGUGACAGUUGGCAGUAUUUGUUCUUUCGACUUUGGUGGCUUCAGUUUCAGACAUCAGAAAUUUUUAUAGAUUUGAGUUCUGAAUGUUAGUUGUUUAUUUGUGUCACAAUCGUGCCUUAUCAUAAUUAUUGAGACUGCUAUUAAUGCAC